rnacentral:rRNA from 1 species
UACAGAGGUCCCGAGCGUUUGGUUCGGAUUCAUUGGGCGUAAAGGGUGCGUAGGCGGGUCUUAAGUCAGGGGUGAAAUCCUGGAGCUCAACUCCAGAACUGCCUUUGAUACUUGAGGAUGCUUGAGUUCGGGAGAGGUGAGUGGAACUGCGAGUGUAGAGGUGAAAUUCGUAGAUAUUCGCAAGAACGACCAGUGGCGGAACGGCGGCUCACUGGCCCGGUACUGGACGACUGAGGUGGCG